AUGGCAUCUCCCCCUCCCACCCAUGGCCAUGGUCCAAUCCCCGACGAUACCCAAGCCUUUGAUGUUGGUGACUUCUACACCUCCCCACCUCUCGACGACCAGGGCACUAAGGACUUCAUGACUUGCAUGAUGGAGGUUGCACAGUUUGGACCUUGGUCAGAUCUUCCGCCAGAACUCUUGGGCCUUGUCCUUAAGCGCCUCCCUUCUUUAGCCGACCGUGUUCGCCUUAGAGCAGUUUGUCACCCAUGGCGCUCCAAUAGUAUAUUGCACACCCUUACCCUCCCAUUCCCCUGGCUCACCCUCCCCGAUGGAACCUUCCUCAGCAUAUCAGGAAACGAGGUUCACCGCAUGCCUCUACCGCAUGGUACUCGAUGGCAUGGCUCAAUUGACAAGAAAUUAUUACUCUUGAGUAGUGAUGGAUUAUGUUCAUUGUUGGACCCUUCCUCAAAGACGACACUGGAGCUUCCUAAUCUGGUCACCAUUUGGCAAAGCGAGAUAGAUGAUCGUACUGAACGGACUCAUGUACCAGUUUCCUAUAAGUUGGUGGAGCCCUCACACAUGGACUCAUCACAGAAGUUCGUUGUUGCUGCACCGAUCCCUGACAAAGGUUAUUCCCCUAAUCUUUCUAUCAUCCAACCGCCUGCUGCAUCUUACACAUUCAAGGGUGUACGUGAUUGGGACCGACAUAUAUUACUGGACUUUGCAUUCUUCCAUGGAAGGUUCUACGUGGUGUCUGAGUUUUACAAGCUUUUCACCAUUGAUUUUGGCGAGAACCUUUGUGGUGGUCCUAACAUCAAAUGCGUAAUUGACACUAUUGGCGAUUAUCUUCGAUCACCUCUGUACUUUUGUCAGAAGAAUGUGUGUGGAUUAUUGUUGUAUUUAGUUGAAUGUGGUAAUAAACUACUGAUGGUGCAACGAUUUACACACUGCUCACAGUCCUCACAGGGUUUCAGUAAUGACCACACUGGUGGAUUUAUGGUCCUUGAGGCGGACUUGCGCACCAACCCCGCUCGGUGGAGAAUGGUAAGUGAUCUGGGUGGUCAUGCACUCUUUCUUGGCAGGCAAAGCUCCAAGGCUGUGCCUGCAGGAGAAUGCAGUGGAUCCCAAGAGGAUUGCAUUUACUUCAUCUGCGACUAUCCUUGUCCAAAGUAUUCCACAAAUCCUCUUCAUGAUGCUGUCAUAUACAACAUGAGAAACGGGAUGAUCAUGCCAUUGCAUUCAGGAAGUGCUGCAGUACCGCAGCGCCAAGCUGGCCAGUGGGGUCUCACAUGGUUUUUUCCUCCUAAAGUUGCAUGA
rnacentral:rRNA from 1 species